UACGGAGGGUGCGAGCGUUGUCCGGAAUCACUGGGCGUAAAGGGCGCGUAGGCGGCCCUGGCAGUCGGUGGUGAAAGCCCGUGGCUCAACUGCGGGUCGGCCACCGAUACUCCAGGGCUCGAGUUUGGUAAAAACAGAUGGAAUUCCGGGUAUAACGGUGGAAUGCGUAGAGAUCCGGAAGAACACCGGUGGCGAAGGCGGUCUGCUGGGCCAAGACUGACGCUGAGGCGCGACAACGUGGGGAGCAAACAGG
rnacentral:rRNA from 1 species